AGCGAGCGCAGGCGGUUUGAUAAGUCUGAAGUUAAAGGCUGUGGCUCAACCAUAGUUCGCUUUGGAAACUGUCAAACUUGAGUGCAGAAGGGGAGAGUGGAAUUCCAUGUGUAGCGGUGAAAUGCGUAGAUAUAUGGAGGAACACCGGUGGCGAAAGCGGCUCUCUGGUCUGUAACUGACGCUGAGGCUCGAAAGCGUGGGGAGCGAACAGGAUUAGAUACCCUGGUAGUCCACGCCGUAAACGAUGAGUGCUAGGUGUUGGAUCCUUUCCGGGAUUCAGUGCCGCAGCUAACGCAUUAAGCACUCCGCCUGGGGAGUACGACCGCAAGGUUGAAACUCAAAGGAAUUGACGGGGGCCCGCACAAGCGGUGGAGCAUGUGGUUUAAUUCGAAGCAACGCGAAGAACCUUACCAGGUCUUGACAUCCCGAUGCUAUUUCUAGAGAUAGAAAGUUACUUCGGUACAUCGGUGA
rnacentral:rRNA from 1 species